GUUCCAUCGCGUCCGUGCGGGUGGAGCUCUCAACCGGCGCCUGUAGCCGGGGUGAGCCUGCCAUGUAGCCCUCCUUCACCGUCCCCUGCUUCGGGACGUCUCCGUACGUCCAGGUGCAACGUUAAGACAAUCGCAACCAGGUUGGGCUCAUCUUCAAUGGGUGACAGGAGCUUCUUCACCUACAACCGCAGUGCCACCAGCAUGGGUUGCUUCUGUUGCAACUGUCUCAGCUCCACAAGAGCAGAUGAUACUAGAUGCCUUUAGCACUUGUGUGCAAUGAGGAACUGACGGCAGAGAGGCCAUGGGUGCUUCCACCGCGCAGGAGGUCAAGAUGGUUCAUGGUUCCCCCAAGGACCAUCGAGGCGACCUUGACGCUGCCAUUCAGGAGAUCGUAGACAUCGCCACCCAAAGGUACUAGAUGGUUUUCUUAAUUGCCACACUCUGUCCUGACGAAAGGUAGCGCCCAACAACCACGGAUGCACGGCGGGCAUGUGCGCCGGCAUUGUCGCGCUUGAUUGCAUUGAUUCAGGUCACUGUGUCAAUCUCGCGUUCCUGCGUCACAAGCAUGGCUGAAGGUGGCUGCUGCAUGCUGCCCCGCCGCCAAGUUCCUUGUGCUGGUGGCCACCAGAUGUGGUGGCACUCUCCUUUCCCAACAUCCUCCUCUGCAGCAGCAGCCACUGGGCUUCGUCCCAUUUAUUUCCUCUUGUGUGAACAAGCCGCUGCCAUGCUACCGUGUCUUUCCUCUCUGUCGUAUCUCAAGGACGGGUGCAGGAGGCAUCCACGAGCUGCAGGAGCUCGCCCCCAAGGACCUUGACGACAUUGCCACCGAAAGAUGGUUACAUGGGCUACAACAAGUUAAAUGGACGAUGAAGGAAUAUGUUCCAUGGUGGUACUACAAUAUGUUUGAGGGAGAAAAAAGCCAUAUAUGUUUUGGACUGAUAAAACACAACUUCUUGAAGGCUAAGUCAAGAAUGAUGUGUGAUUCAGCCUACAAGAGUACUAUUGAUUAUUUUGUGAAGACCUUGAAGAGCGGUAUGCAUGGUUAAGUCAAGAAUGAAGCUUCUUACAUCAGUGUUUCAGUGCCAAAAAUGGAUCGGGGGAGAACUGGAGAAAUUGCUGCGCACCUGUGAGGGGUAAGGGGUAAGGCAAAUAGAGCGGGGGAGAGAGAGAGGGAAUCGACCACUGCAGAAGCGAAUCGAGCGGGGGAGAGAGGAAAGCUGAGCCUCCGCCACCACCAAGCUUCACCGCCGCCGCUGCCAGCUUCUUCAUCUCCUCCACCUCCGCGCGCCCCUCUGCAUCUCUGAUAGUCCUCUAUCUCAGCCUGAUGGUGGUGAAGAUAAUGAUGUUGAUGGGGACAACUCUGAUGCUUUGGAUUAUGAUGACGAUUAUGUGUAGGAGUGCUUGGCUAGUUCACAGUUGGCUGUCGUUUGAAUUGAAUGGCCUUCGUUGUUGCUCCAGGAAUUUGAACUUGGUUAAUUUACUAUUUGUGUUUGCUGGCCCUCUGGUGUUUAUGUUAUCAGUUUGUGUUGAAACUAUGUGGGCUUCAGGUUGUUAAUUUACCAUCUAAUUUGUGUUGAAACUAUGUGGGCUUCAGGUUGUUAAUCGUAGUGGUGUUUCAGUUUGUGUUGCUUCAACACACUACAUGUUACAGUUUGUGUUGCUUCAACACACUACAUGUUACUACAUGCUUAUUUAUAACUGGACAAACACAAGAGCACAUCUCUAAAACAUGGGUAAAUAAUGUUGUAUUCUUGAUAGCAGGAAAUUUUGUGAUAAUUUCUUUGUGAAUAAAUUCUCUGUUUGCCUACUUCAUCUCCACCUUUUUGUUGAAACCCUGCUCUAGAUUUAUUGUUCCUACUAAAUCUGCUAUAGAGCUGGCCAUCAUGUUUUGUUAUUUUUUAUUCAAGGAAAACCAGGAGGAGGACUAAAUUGCAGUGUAGGAGUGCUUGGCUAGUUCACAGUUGGCUGUCGUUUGAAUUGAAUAGCCUUCAUUGUUGCUUCACGAAUUUGAACUUGGUUAAUUUACUGUUUGUGUUUGCUGGUGCUAUAUCAUCUAAUUUGUGUUUAAACUAUGUGGGUAAAAUUUUUGUUUCGAACUUCUGGACCUUAUGUUGUCGAACUUAUGCUAAUGCUAGUUGUUAUUUGUGUUCCUAAAUCUCCAAAUUUGUUGUCAUAGGAUGUAUAAUUGUUUCCUGUCAUAUUGUUUAUUAUUAUUACGCCCAACGGCCUAAGCGUCGACAUGUUGACUCAACUCUUCGAGCUCGACUCGACGACGUCUGAACAAAGCAGCCUACAUCGGUGAUCUUUAUGUUUGUGCAUAUAUAUCUUGUUUGCAUGCAUGUAUCUCUACUUGAUAAAUUUGGCCAUGGUGUGAAAAUACUUGCUAAACUGAAUCAUGUUAAUUUGAAAGUCAUCAUUAGGCAAAAAGAGAUAGUAUUAGUACUAGUUAUACUUAAAUACCACAAACUCAGGUUUCAGGAAAGGAAUUAGAAGCCACACAGCUAGCUUCAGGUUGUUAACCGUAGUAGUGUUUCAGUUUGCGUUAACUAAGAUGAUGGUUUUCUUUGUACAUUUAUGAAGAUUCUACUUAUUGUGGUCAUUAUUAAAUAAGUAUUUGUAUGCUAAGUGUUGAUUAGUAGUUGUGUUCCUGUCUUAAUGUAUGCAGCCAUAUAUGUUUUGGAUUGAUAAAACACACCUUCUUGAAGGCUAAGUCAAGAAUGAUGUGUGACUCAGCCUACAAGAGUACUAUUGAUUAUUUUGUGAAGAUCUUGAAGAGCGGUAUGCAGGUUAAGUCAAGAAUGAAGCUUCCGACGUCAGUGUUUCAGUGCAAAUUCAUGGUGUCGAACUGUAUUUGGAGCACACGAAUUAUCCGACAACCAAUUCAGUAAGGGGUAAGGCAAAUCGAGGGGGAGAGAGAGGGAAUCGACCAGUGCAGAAGAGAAUUGAGCGGGAGAGAGAGGAAAGCUGUGCUGCCGCCACCACCAAGGUUCACCGCUGCAUCUGCCAAGCUUCUUCAUCCCCUCCGCCUCCGGGAAAACCAGGAGGAGGACUAGAUUGCAGUGUCGGAGGUAGCUGUGCAGCCUGAUGCAUCGCUUGGUGCAAGAGGGAAGACCCAAGUGCAGAAGGAGCCAUCAUAUAAUAGUCUUGUUCGAUUCCUUUCUUCAUUUACUCUCGUUGCAAUGCAAGAGGUGCUGAGAUUUGAGAUUGGGAAGAGCUUCUUAACGUAGCAUUUCAUGUUGUAUGUAACAAACUGUCCCAGGAUGGCUGGGAUUGCGUAAGCUUGCGUGCAUCGGCUUUACUUCGGAUUGUUGGGUAGUUUUCUUGUUGGUUAGAGUUGUGGUCCAGUUGAUUGUAUGUCACACAUGGGUUGUGUUGUAUGAACUAUUGUCUUAUUUGAAGUAUGUUACUU